rnacentral:lncRNA from 1 species
AAAUGCAUAGUAAUUCCACUAAAAAUACACUGUAAUUCCACUAAAAAUGCCACUUGCAAAUACAGAGCAAAAAUCCACUAAAAGUACAUUGUAAACCCACUAAGACUUACAAUGUAGAUUCCACUAAUAAUUACAGUAAAAACCACGGAAAAUGCACAAUAAUUCCACUAAAAAUGCCACUUGCAACUACAGAGCAAAAAGCCGCUAAAAAUACACUGUAAACCCACACGGAUUUACAGUGUAAAUUCCACUGUCAUUCCAAUGUAAAACCACUGAAAAUGCACUGUAAUUCCACUAAAAGUACACUGUAAUUCCACUUAAAACACACAAAAGAAUUACACUGCAAUUCCACUGAGAAAGUGCUAAAUUUACCCCCAGAGAGGGCGAUUCCUCCAUGAUCUAGGACACAAACAUGGCUGGAGAACCAAAAAAAUCACAGGUAAACACCUCCUGUCGUCUCUCGUCUCUUUCCUGCCUGAACAAAUCUGGAAGAAAGAACAGACCUGUACUGGAUGAUUACAUAGGCUAAGUUAAGCACAAAAUCUACACAGAUAAAAAAUAAGAACAUAAUCACACAAAAGCUUGAACUAGGAGAAACCCUAGGAACAACUAGGAUAUGGUCGCAUGAACUAGUAGUCUAUGAUCACAUGAAAAUUGAAAACUAGAUGCCCAGAUCGUAGAUUUCUGAAUUUGGGGAAAUAAACACACUACAGGGAUCAAAACAUGCUCACGAAGGUAGCAAUUCCAUUUUGGGAAAACUAGUUAAAAACAUACAAGGGGGAGGAUUGCUCGAGUUGAGAGAAAAUAUGACUAUUUUCACAAACUUUGGAAACUGAAAAACCAAACAAUGUUAAGAAACUUUGAUAUAGUAGUUUUAGACACUUUCUACCUGUUCUUAAAUAGCUGUGAUUGAAGGACCGAGUUUAAGUAACUUUGGAAGUGUAAACUACCAUGAUCUGAUGUUUGCUUACAUUGAAUAUUGAUAGGCAUUAACAUAAGCACUACAAAUUGAAAUUAACAGAAAAAAGGACAAACACAAUCAGGCUAAAAACGUUCACACUAGAAGGCACUCACAUAGUAGCAACAAACAAAAAGAAUCUAUAAAACCGAUAACAUAUUUACAGUUCAGAACUAAAAGGACAAAUUUGUGACCGUUAGAUCAAAUUACUGGGACCUACUACAAAAUAACUCUACAUUUAUUUACAGUUCGGAACUGAAUACCUGUUUGCAUUAAUAGAUAGUUUACUCAAACUAUUGAGGGCAGAUGCCUACAAUCGAACCAAACGCAAUGAAAUGCAGCAUCAAAGGACAUGUGAUAUACCUCAAUGAGACGAAGUUGAUUUCCUCAACAUAUGGCUUUCCAAUAGCAGAAAACCAUCCUGAAAACAAAAAAAUAACAUUAUCAAAAACAUGCUUUCUCUAACUAGUUUCUUGACAAAUAAAGAGUGAGUCAUACUCUUUUACUGAGCUACUUCAGGCGCAAAUGAUGUACAAGGUUUACAUUGCAAAAAAUCAUAGAAAACUAAAAUAGGGAAAAUCUACCAACACUAGUCAUCGGCUAAUGAUAUUCAGUUUAAUGUAGUGUGUUGGAAAAAGGGGGGAAACUCAGAGUAGAUCACUGUAGCUUACACAUUCCUGAAGUUACAAGCCAAUGGAACAAAACACUCAAAAAUUGCAGUGUAAGACAGACUAAUAAAAGACUGAAACUAUGGUCCAAAUCACUGUUACUUAUAUGAAAAUAUUCAGUCCACAUGACUGUCCAAUUAACUCAAAGUUACAGUCCAAAUCAUUGUUACUUAACUGAAAAAAUUCAAUCUGCAUCACUACCCAGUUCACUCAAAGUUACAGUCCAAAACUCCAAAUCAUUGUUACUUAACUGAAAAAAAUCAAUCUACAUCACUAUCCAAUUCACUCAAAGUUACAGUCCAAAUCACUACCCAAAACACUGAAAACUGCAGGCCCAAUCAGUUACUUAACUGAAGAAGUCAGGCCACAUCACUGUCCAAUUCAUUCACAGUUACAGUCCAAGUCACUAACCAAAAUCACUAAAAAUUACAGUCCCAAAUCAUUGCUACUAAACUGAAAAAAUUCAGUCCACCAAACACACCUCGCGAGACUUAAACCACCAAGAGAGUCAGCAUUUGUAUCCCAGACAUCUACAUCAAGACACAGACCAGACGAAAAACAACCUACCAAACUAGCAGACGCCAAAGAGAUCAAAAUAUCUGCGGGUAACACGUGCAACCAACACAAACAACAAGAUCUGACCGAGGAAAACUCUACACGCAGCUAACAAACAGAUGUGACGAACGACACAAAUCGACGAGAAUACCGAAUUAGAGGAACAGAAGUCGACGGGGAAAAAUAGGAGCCGCGGUGGGCGAGGGGGAGAUGUUGCAGACCUCAGGUGAGAAAUACUGAAUCAGGCGGCGAGGGGAGCUCCAAAUCACCAUGGCUGCUCCGAAAUGAGAAGGGGAAACGAGGAGGAGGGGAACGGGCAAACACAACUAGGCGGGCGAUAGCAAAGGAAGUGUAUCGGGUCUCCAAGAAAU